UCUUACUUAAAUUAUUUCUUGUAUAUCGCUGUUUAAGAAAAUAUUUUUAGAUGAUUUUCUUAAUAUAAUAAUAAGUAAUAUUUCAAGUCAAGGUGCAGUAAUAUAUAAGUUGAACAAUGGAUUACAAUAAAUUAUAUUUAUUAUGGAUUGUUGAUGUGAAUUAAUUUGAAAGUGGAUUUAAUAGUAAUUUUAUGAAGAUUGUUAGAAUGAUUAGUAGAUCUAUAAUAUGUACACAUCGCCC
rnacentral:rRNA from 1 species